AUUUAUUUCUGAACUUGUACUUAUGGACUUUUCUUCUGUCAAGCUUUCUUGGUUUUGAUUUCUUACAACUUGGUGGCUUUUUUCUAAGGAAUUUGUUGUGAAUAAAUUUGCUUAAGGAUGACUAUUAAGGUAAAUAUUAAUUUUUGUUUCUCAACUUCCUCAAACAGCUUGCCACAGCUGUAAAUGGUGUCCCCUUGUUUGAGAUUUUUCUUAGAGUGAACAAAAUGGAUAAAUAUAAACAGCAGGUACCAAUCUUAAAGCAUCUCAUCUUAUUUACUACACGAAUAAACAUUUUCUUUGAUAAGAUUACUAACAUAUCAUGGUGGGCCAGCCGUAAGUGUUGUAGAAUUAGAAAGGGACUUAGAGUGUUGGUCCAAUGAUUUUGAGAUGAUCUCAAACCCUAGGAUUACUAGAGGCAAUGCCAACUUUUGAUUCAAUUCGUCCUGAGUAGCAUUCCUAUUUACUUCUUGUCUUACUGUAAAGUCCUGUCUUCAAUUGUCUUAUUUUCUUUGUGCAUUAUGUUGAAAAGUUUUUACUUUCAAUUCUGCUGCUACUUUGCUAGGUGAUCUGUUACAACCAAGUUGAUUCAACCACAUACAUUUAUCAACUUACAUAACCUAGAAAUUUUAGUUAUGAGUCCUUUUUCCAUAACAAACUGACUUAAUAAAGAGCUUGAUGCUGAGAUUUCUCAAUUACAUCUUUUGUGGCUUGUUAAGGUUUGUGCGAUUUUGUGAGGUAUUUGGAUUGUAAGGAAUAAUAGAUUAUUGUUGGGCCAAGGGGUUUAGAUGUCUAAUGAGGAUGUGUGGGUUGUUAGGUGCUACGUUUCUCUUUGGCCUUGUUAAAGUUUUCUGUAAUUAUCUCUGUGGCUAUUAACAAAUUGUAGAGAAUAUGGAAUCUAUGAUUGGAGAAGGAUUUUCCUUUACAACUAAAGUUGUACUUGCUUUAUGUGUUUCACUUUUUGCUAAACCUUAAAGACACCAUCUUGCCGUACGCUUAACCGAUGCAAUUAAAUUUCUGUUUUACUUCUGUCAAUAUUAAAUGUACAUCCUCUUAUCAAUUUCUGUCUUACUUGCUAAACCUUAAACGUAUUUAAGGAAACAAAAGAAUUUGGUUAUGUGGGGCAUAUCAAGGUAAACAAUUUUUUUAUGUGCACAUAUUAGGAGAAAAAAAUAGUAAAUCUAAAUAAAAUAUAGUGUUUUGAUAUUAUGAAAAGAAUAUAAAUAUGUUUGUUCCUACCACUUUCUAAUGAUAAUGAUUUAUCAAGAAUGUAAAUGAAUGUCCUUGAGUUUCAAAUGUUAAGCUAAUUAUGCUACUUCUCUUUAGGUUAUGGUUUUCAUGAGGAUGAGUUAAAGGCAGUUAUAGUGGCAGAACAAAAUGUUUAGCCCCAAUAUUGGCCUGCGGAACAAUUCGUAGUACCAGUAGAAGAGAACAACAUAUUCUUAAAAUAGAUCGUAAAGUUACACUUACUUAUGACUUUCUUGUUUUUUUUCCAAUUCUGAGCUUACAUGUAAGAGUUAAUUUGAGCUUAGGGUGAUGAGAGUGGCAAACAUUUUAACCAGGUAUGUUGAAUCAACUCAUUAGUAGUGAUUUUUUAGGAUUUUUAAAAAAGUAAGGGAUUUUUUCUACUUUCAUCAACAGCUUUUUCAGAGCUCUUGGAUAAUUCUUUGGAUGAGGUAUUGAGAAUUUGUCUCUUAUUUAGGUAUCAACAAAUAACUUAUGCCAUUGUGCCAAAGGAGGAAGUUGAACUUGUUGAGCUCAAAAACUGAGGGACUUAUAUUCUAUGCCACUUUAAAUGCCAUUGCAUCUUUCUACAUGGUAAGACUUAUAUUCUGGUUUUGUUGAUACCUUUAUUUGUGUAAACUUUAUGUUUUUGUUUACAUGUGAAUUGAUUUGCAUGUAAAAUUUUCUUAGGUUAGUUUGCUACAUGAGUUAAAUAGUUAUGUCGUUUUAGCUGGCUGAAACGUAAAUACGAACAUAUCGUGUAUGGCUGGUGGUGAUCCAUUGGGAUCUGAAUUUUUUUUUUCACUUUUAGUUACAAGAAACAUGGAAAAUUAACGAUAUCAUAGUGGUGGAUGAUACUACUUAUGUUGUAUGUCUCUUUAUUUGAUUAAAAGAGAGGGUAAAAUAAACGGAGCUAAUGGAAGAAGAAUGCAUUGCUAUGUCUACUUGGUUAUCUUGUCAAGAUUUGAAAUUUCAUAUCUUCCAUUUAUCUUUACCUAUUUCUCUUUGAAAUUCUGUGAUGUUGGGAUUUCUUGUGGACAUAACUGAAUUGCCUUGAUGAUUGAUUCAGUGGUUUUCAUUUCAAACAAUAUGUUUCUGCUUAGAAUGUAUGAAGAAGCUAAGGUUUAUAGAAUUUGAGGCCACUUUGGAAUUGUGUUGUAUAAUGGAAAAACUGUUUCAUAGAAUGGUUAGAAGUGGUUAAACUCCUUGAUAUUAGUUUAAAUGACUUCAAAGUUAUAUUUCGGGAGAUGAUAUAUUGAGAUAUAUUAUGAACUAAUAAUUGAGUGAAAUAGUUUCGAUUUAUCUCUCCUUUUAAGUAGGAUUGGAAUUGGUACCUUAUGUUGGCAUGACAAAGGGUAGAACCUUUCUUAUAUUCUUAUAUUGAUAUGUAGAGUCAUACUCUAAAAUUUGUUUUCUUACGAGGUUUUGCAAGAAUCCAUUUGAGCAGUGAAGCCAUAUUUGCAGCAAUUGAUUGAUUUUAGGCGUUUUUGUAGGUUUGGUAGCAAAAUUUUAGUUCAAAUGUACUUAUUUAAAUAGUUUGUUGGUACCAAAACAUGUAUGUUCAUUCUAUCAUUGUACAAACCCUUUACCAACAAUUGUACAUAUAUUACAAAGUGUAUGUUAAUGUA